AGGACGAACGCUGGCGGCGUGCUUAACACAUGCAAGUCGAGCGGAAAGGCCCUUCGGGGUACUCGAGCGGCGAACGGGUGAGUAACACGUGGGUAACCUGCCCCUUGCUCUGGGAUAACUCCGGGAAACCGGGGCUAAUACCGGAUAUGACACCCGCAGGCAUCUGCUGGGUGUGGAAAGUUUUUCGGCGAGGGAUGGGCCCGCGGCCUAUCAGCUUGUUGGUGGGGUGAUGGCCUACCAAGGCAGUGACGGGUA
rnacentral:rRNA from 1 species